UACGUAGGUGGCAAGCGUUGUCCGGAAUUAUUGGGCGUAAAGCGCGCGCAGGCGGUCCUUUAAGUCUGAUGUGAAAGCCCACGGCUCAACCGUGGAGGGUCAUUGGAAACUGGGGGACUUGAGUGCAGAAGAGGAGAGUGGAAUUCCACGUGUAGCGGUGAAAUGCGUAGAGAUGUGGAGGAACACCAGUGGCGAAGGCGGGUUGCUGGGCCGACACUGACGCUGAUGCGCGAAAGCCAGGGGAGCGAACGGG
rnacentral:rRNA from 1 species